rnacentral:rRNA from 1 species
AUCAACUUUCGAUGGUAGGAUAGAGGCCUACCAUGGUGGUAACGGGUAACGGGGUGUUAGGGCACGACACCGGAGAGGGAGCCUGAGAAACGGCUACCACAUCCAAGGAUGGCAGCAGGCGCGCAAAUUACCCAAUCCCGACACGGGGAGGUAGUGACAAUAAAUAACAAUACAGGGUUCUUUCGGAUCUUGUAAUUGGAAUGAGUACAAUUUAAAUCUCUUAACGAGGAACAAUUGGAGGGCAAGUCUGGUGCCAGCAGCCGCGGUAAUUCCAGCUCCAAUAGCGUAUAUUAAAGUUGCUGCAGUUAAAAAGCUCGUAGUUGAAUUUCGGGACCAAUAUGUCGGUCGUGCUUUUGUACGUACUGAUAUAAUUGGUUUCUCCCUUCUGAAGAACCUUGAUGUCAUUAAUUUGGUGUCUUGGGGAAUCAGGACUGUUACUUUGAAAAAAUUAGAGUGUUUAAAGCAGGCUCGCGCUUGAAUACAUUAGCAUGGAAUAAUGAAAUAGGACGUUUGAUUCUAUUUUGUUGGUUUCUAGGAUCGACGUAAUGAUUAAUAGGGAUAGUUGGGGGCAUUAGUAUUCAAUUGUCAGAGGUGAAAUUCUUGGAUUUAUUGAAGACUAACUACUGCGAAAGCAUUUGCCAAGGAUGUUUUCAUUAAUCAAGAACGAAAGUUAGGGGAUCGAAGACGAUCAGAUACCGUCGUAGUCUUAACCAUAAACUAUGCCGACUAGGGAUCGGAUGAUGUUAAUUUUUUAAUGACUCAUUCGGCGCCUUACAGGAAACCAAAGUGUUUGGGUUC